GUUGAACGCUGGCGGCAUGCUUUACACAUGCAAGUCGAGCGGAAACACGCCUUGGGUUGCUGACGGACGGUGGACGCGGGAGGAAGGGUUCGGAACGGAUCCCCAGCCUGUGGGUAACGCAUAGAAAGCGGUGCUAGGAGCUCAUGUGGGCUGAGAUUUAAAACGGGAGAGCGAGCUGGAAUGUUUCGCCUUGCGUCUUUGGAGUGGCCGGUGUCGGAUUAGCUAGUUGGUGGGGUAAAGGCCUACCAAGGCGACGAUCCGUAGCGGACCUGAGAGGACGACCAGCCACACUGGAACUGAGACACGGCCCAGACUCCUACGGGAGGCAGCAGUGGGGAAUCUUGGGCAAUGGGCGAAAGCCUGACCGAGCAACGCCGCGUGAGGGAAGAAGGCCUUCGGGUCGUAAAACGCUUUUGGCAGGAAAGAACAAGUGUGCGCGAAACCAGGGCGCUCUUGACGGUACCUGAUGAAUAAGCCACGGCUAACUACGUG
rnacentral:rRNA from 1 species